UUGGGUCCCGGGUGGGGCCGAGGCAGCGGGAGUCGCGGUUGCUCAGCGUGCACCUGAGACCCGACGCCCGGGGUCCUCGAAGACGCGUCCGCCGCCGUGCCCGUCGCCAUGAACCGCUUCAGGGUGUCCAAGUUCCGGCACACCGAGGCUCGGCUGACAGGACGGUAAAACUCUGGCGACUGCCAGGGCCUGGCCAGGCCCUGCCCUCAGCACCCGGGGUGGUGCUGGGCCCCGAGGACCUCCCAGUGGAGGUACUGCAGUUCCACCCCACCUCUGACGGCAUUCUGGUGAGCGCAGCAGGCACCACUGUGAAGGUCUGGGACGCAGCCAAGCAGCAGCCCCUGACAGAGCUGGCAGCCCAUGGGGACCUGGUGCAGAGCGCCGUCUGGAGCCGAGAUGGAGCCCUGGUGGGCACGGCGUGCAAGGACAAGCAGCUGCGGAUCUUUGACCCCAGAACAAAGCCGCGGGCCUCUCAGAGCACGCAGGCCCAUGAGAACAGCA
rnacentral:lncRNA from 1 species